rnacentral:rRNA from 1 species
AUUGAACGCUAGCGGGAUGCUUUACACAUGCAAGUCGAACGGCAGCGCGGACUUCGGUCUGGCGGCGAGUGGCGAACGGGUGAGUAAUGUAUCGGAACGUGCCCAGUAGCGGGGGAUAACUACGCGAAAGCGUGGCUAAUACCGCAUACGCCCUACGGGGGAAAGGGGGGGAUCGCAAGACCUCUCACUAUUGGAGCGGCCGAUAUCGGAUUAGCUAGUUGGUGAGGUAAAGGCUCACCAAGGCGACGAUCCGUAGCUGGUUUGAGAGGACGACCAGCCACACUGGGACUGAGACACGGCCCAGACUCCUACGGGAGGCAGCAGUGGGGAAUUUUGGACAAUGGGGGCAACCCUGAUCCAGCCAUCCCGCGUGUGCGAUGAAGGCCUUCGGGUUGUAAAGCACUUUUGGCAGGGAAGAAAAGUUUCGGGCUAAUACCCUGGAGCGAUGACGGUACCUGCAGAAUAAGCACCGGCUAACUACGUG